UUCUGGAAGGAUUGACAGAUUGAGAGCUCUUUCUUGAUUCGGUGGAUGGUGGUACAUGUUCGUUCUUAGUUGGUGGAGCAAUUUGUCUGGUUAAUUCCGAUAACGAACGAGACUCUAGCCUAUUAAAUAUGUGCGUGGUUCUCUGCACCUUGCACCCUUCUUAGAGGGACAAGCGGCUCCUAGCCGCACGAAACAGAGCAAUGACAGGUCUGUGAUGCCCUUAGAU
rnacentral:rRNA from 1 species